UCAGGUUCUUAUGGUGCUGCCGCAGGCAGGGUCUGUCUUCCAGGAGCUCAACUUAUAGAUGGAGGGUGGGCUUCCUGUGCAGAGAGCUGGGGGCUGAGACCUCGAGGCUGGGCUCGUAGACCUUGGGAGAAGCUCUGGUGCUGGACUAAAGAGUUUGGACUUAGUUUGGGCGUAAUGCUUCUGCUUAUGGUGCCUAAACCUUCAGUCUGUGACAAAAGGGCAUUUAGGAUAUUUCCAUUUUUUUCACUUUUACAAACAUUAUUGUGGUGAAUAACUUUGUAGUACAUGUAUCAUUUCAGGCAUGUGAGAAUAUACCUGUUAGGAUCAGUUCCUAAAAUGGAAUCUAAUCACUGGAUCAAAGGGCGUGUGCAUUUGCUCUCCACCACCCCCUCCCCCCCAUAAGAGGAAGAUGAAGGCAGAAAGUUGUGGUUUCUAGGCACAGAUCCUGUGCAUGUGAAGUAAGAGAUAAGUGAAGUUGGC